UAGAGUUUCUUAGGAGGGGGUUUUAAAGUAGUGCUGGUGUAGAGAUGAAAUUUUGUAAUACCUCUUUUCGAAAGAAGAAUAACGGCUCAGGUAUAGGCGAAGGCAUCCCCUUAUGUGAUAACUGACGUUGAGGGACGAAGGUUUUGUGGAACAAACAGGAUUAGGUACCUUAGUAGUUGAAGCAGAAAAUGAUGAAUGUCAUAGAUUAGACGUUUAAGUUUAUUCUAUAAAUGAAAGUGUAAGCAUUCCACCUCAGGAGUAAUUUGGCAACAUUGGAAUUGAAAUCAUUAGACCGUUUCUGAAACCAGUAGUGAAGUAUGUUGUUUAAUUUGAUAAUACGCAAAAAACCUUACCACAAUUUGAAUAUUUAUACCAAGCGUAUAUCUACAAGCGUUGCACGGCUGUCUUCAGUUAAUGUCGUGAGACGGUUACGUUCC
rnacentral:rRNA from 1 species